rnacentral:rRNA from 1 species
GACGAACGCUGGCGGCGUGCUUAACACGUGCAAGUCGAACGGAAAGGCCCUGCUUUUGUGGGGUGCUCGAGUGGCGAACGGGUGAGUAACACGUGAGUAACCUGCCCUUGACUUUGGGAUAACUUCAGGAAACUGGGGCUAAUACCGGAUAGGAGCUCCUGCUGCAUGGUGGGGGUUGGAAAGUUUCGGCGGUUGGGGAUGGACUCGCGGCUUAUCAGCUUGUUGGUGGGGUAGUGGCUUACCAAGGCUUUGACGGGUAGCCGGCCUGAGAGGGUGACCGGCCACAUUGGGACUGAGAUACGGCCCAGACUCUUACGGGAGGCAGCAGUGGGGAAUAUUGCACAAUGGGCGGAAGCCUGAUGCAGCAACGCCGCGUGCGGGAUGACGGCCUUCGGGUUGUAAACCGCUUUCGCCUGUGACGAAGCGUGAGUGACGGUAAUGGGUAAAGAAGCACCGGCUAACUACGUG